rnacentral:rRNA from 1 species
AGAUUUUAUAUCUUGNACUGCGAACGGCUCAUUAAAUCAGUUAUAAUCUACUUGAUUGUAAAAUCUACAUGGAUAACUGUAGUAAUUCUAGAGCUAAUACAUGCAAAAAAUCCUGACUGUUAUGGAAAGGAUGUAUUUAUUAGGUACAAAAUCAAUGCUGACACUUGUGUCAGGUUUAUUGAUGAUUCAUAAUAACUAAACGAAGCGCACGACCUUGAGUUGGCGCUGAUACAAACGAGUUUCUGCCCUAUCAACUUUCGAUGGUAGUAUAGAGGACUACCAUGGUUUCAACGGGUAAACGGGGAAUA